UACGAGGGGUCCAAGCGUUGUUCGGAAUUACUGGGCGUAAAGCGGGUGUAGGUGGACUGAUCAGUCGGAUGUGAAAGCCCUGGGCUCAACCCAGGAAGUGCAUCCGAUACUGUCAGUCUUGAGUACUGGAGAGGGAAGUGGAAUUCCAGGUGUAGCGGUGAAAUGCGUAGAUAUCUGGAGGAACAUCAGUGGCGAAGGCGACUCUGGACAAUACUGACGCUGAGGUGCGAAAGCGUGGGGAGCAACAGGAUUAGAUACCCCGUAGUCC
rnacentral:rRNA from 1 species